UGGGGAAUCCUGCGCAAUGGGCGAAAGCCUGACGCAGCCAUGCCGCGUGAAUGACGAAGGUCUUAGGGUUGUAAAAUUCUUUCACCGGGGACGAUAAUGACGGUACCCGGAGAAGAAGCCCCGGCUAACUUCGUGCCAGCAGCCGCGGUAAUACGAAGGGGGCCAGCGUUGCUCGGAAUUACUGGGCGUAAAGGGAGCGUAGGCGGACAUUUAAGUCAGGGGUGAAAUCCCGGGGCUCAACCUCGGAAUUGCCUUUGAUACUGGGUGCCUUGAGUGUGAGGGAGGUAUGUGGAACCCCGAGUGUAGAGGUGAAAUUCGUAGAUAUUCGGAAGAACACCAGUGGCGAAGGCGACAUACUGGCUCAUUACUGACGCUGAGGCUCGAAAGCGUGGGGAGCAAACAGGAUUAGAUACCCUGGUAGUCCACGCCGUAAACGAUGAUUGCUAGUUGUCGGGAUGCAUGCAUUUCGGUGACGCAGCUAACGCAUUAAGCAAUCCGCCUGGGGAGUACGGUCGCAAGAUUAAAACUCAAAUGAAUUGAC
rnacentral:rRNA from 1 species